CGUCUUUAAUGAUUCUGUCAAUAUUCAGUUCCAUUUCAUUGUCUAUAAACAAUUUUUUUGCUUUCCCAUCAUCUGAGUGGUACAAAUGUAUGAGCGAGGCUGAGCAGUAACACACAAAUGGCUGGCUUUGUUACAACUCAGUACAAGCCAAGGAGUUGCUGUCACUUUCUAAUGCUGUUGACAGUCACAGCUUACAUCCAACAGAGUUUUCGAAGAAAAAGUUUCCUUUUAGCAACAGAAGGAGAAAAAGAAGACACCGAGACAAAAGUGCAGUGUCCUGGGUGUGGCACAGAAAAAAGAGAAAGAACACGGUGAUCACAGGGCAUGAUGUUUGACAGCUAUAAUUAGUGGUAUUUUGUGAAUUUUCCUGUUAUGAAUGUGUCAAUCCAUGGACCAAGUCUGCACCUGCAUGAAUAUACCUGAGGAACUGAAGGAGCACUUGAUUAUAGUUUCACCUUUAAAAUGACCUGGCCUAGUUCUUCUCUUGGUAGAAAUGUUUUGAGGAGUUUGAAAUACUGCUAACGUUUUUCUGUGUUCCUUUAAUAUCUGAUUCUCCUGUUCUGUCUGUCAUCAUCUUUGGCUGUAUAAUAUUUUCUGACCAAUUUGCUGCUGCUAUUUCACAAUCUUUUUUCCUGUUAGAUGAAUUUCUAAGAAUAUCCCAUCCAUAAUAAGCAUAGCUCUGUUAUGUUUUUAAUAAUACCCAUACUGUUGUUCUUUAUAGUGCCUACA